rnacentral:tRNA from 1 species
GCACCCGUAGCUCAGCUGGAUAGAGCGUCAGACUCCGACUCUGAAGGCCGUGCGUUCGAAUCGCAUCGGGUGUACCA